rnacentral:rRNA from 1 species
UACGAAGGGGGCUAGCGUUGCUCGGAAUCACUGGGCGUAAAGCGCGCGUAGGCGGAUCGUUAAGUCGGGGGUGAAAUCCUGGAGCUCAACUCCAGAACGGCCUUUGAUACUGGCGGUCUUGAGUCUGGGAGAGGUGAGUGGAACUCCGAGUGUAGAGGUGAAAUUCGUAGAUAUUCGGAAGAACACCAGUGGCGAAGGCGGCUCACUGGCCCGGGACUGACGCUGAGGUGCGAAAGCGUGGGGAG